rnacentral:rRNA from 1 species
UACGCAGGGUGCAAGCGUUACUCGGAAUUACUGGGCGUAAAGCGUGCGCAGGCGGUUCGCUAAGACCGAUGUGAAAUCCCCGGGCUUAACCUGGGAACUGCAUUGGUGACUGGCGGGCUAGAGUAUGGCAGAGGGGGGUAGAAUUCCACGUGUAGCAGUGAAAUGCGUAGAGAUGUGGAGGAAUACCGAUGGCGAAGGCAGCCCCCUGGGCCAAUACUGACGCUAGUGCACGAAAGCGUGGGGAGCAAACAGG